AUCUAUGGUGAUGGCACACUGAACACACCCAAUCUCAACUGACCUCAGAAGCCAGGCAGUGUCAGCUUGGUUAGUACUUGAUGGGAGAUAGUGAUUUGCACAAUCACAUUUCAUAGAUU
rnacentral:rRNA from 1 species